rnacentral:rRNA from 1 species
GACGAACGCUGUCGGCGUGCUUAACACAUGCAAGUCGAACGGAAAGGCCCUGCUUUUGUGGGGUGCUCGAGUGGCGAACGGGUGAGUAACACGUGAGUAACCUGCCCUUGACUUUGGGAUAACUUCAGGAAACUGGGGCUAAUACCGGAUAGGAGCUCCUGCUGCAUGGUGGGGGUUGGAAAGUUUCGGCGGUUGGGGAUGGACUCGCGGCUUAUCAGCUUGUUGGUGGGGUAGUGGCUUACCAAGGCUUUGACGGGUAGCCGGCCUGAGAGGGUGACCGGCCACAUUGGGACUGAGAUACGGCCCAGACUCCUACGGGAGGCAGCAGUGGGGAAUAUUGCACAAUGGGCGGAAGCCUGAUGCAGCAACGCCGCGUGCGGGAUGACGGCCUUCGGGUUGUAAACCGCUUUCGCCUGUGACGAAGCGUGAGUGACGGUAAUGGGUAAAGAAGCACCGGCUAACUACGUGCCAGCAGCCGCGGUGAUACGUAGGGUGCGAGCGUUGUCCGGAUUUAUUGGGCGUAAAGGGCUCGUAGGUGGUUGAUCGCGUCGGAAGUGUAAUCUUGGGGCUUAACCCUGAGCGUGCUUUCGAUACGGGUUGACUUGAGGAAGGUAGGGGAGAAUGGAAUUCCUGGUGGAGCGGUGGAAUGCGCAGAUAUCAGGAGGAACGCCAGUGGCGAAGGCGGUUCUCUGGGCCUUUCCUGACGCUGAGGAGCGAAAGCGUGGGGAGCGAACAGGCUUAGAUACCCUGGUAGUCCACGCUGUAAACGGUGGGUACUAGGUGUGGGGUCCAUUCCACGGGUUCCGUGCCGUAGCUAACGCUUUAAGUACCCCGCCUGGGGAGUACGGCCGCAAGGCUAAAACUCAAAGGAAUUGACGGGGCCCCGCACAAGCGGCGGAGCAUGCGGAUUAAUUCGAUGCAACGCGUAGAACCUUACCUGGGUUUGACAUGGAUCGGGAGUGCUCAGAGAUGGGUGUGCCUCUUUUGGGGUCGGUUCACAGGUGGUGCAUGCCUGUCGUCAGCUCGUGUCGUGAGAUGUUGGGUUAAGUCCCGCAACGAGCGCAACCCUUGUUCACUGUUGCCAGCACGUUAUGGUGGGGACUCAGUGGAGACCGCCGGGGUCAACUCGGAGGAAGGUGGGGAUGACGUCAAGUCAUCAUGCCCCUUAUGUCCAGGGCUUCACGCAUGCUACAAUGGCUGGUACAGAGAGUGGCGAGCCUGUGAGGGUGAGCGAAUCUCGGAAAGCCGGUCUCAGUUCGGAUUGGGGUCUGCAACUCGACCUCAUGAAGUCGGAGUCGCUAGUAAUCGCAGAUCAGCAACGCUGCGGUGAAUACGUUCCCGGG